rnacentral:rRNA from 1 species
AUUGCACGCUGGCGGCAGGCCUAACACAUGCAAGUCGAACGAGUGGCGGACGGGUGAGUAAUGUCUGGGAAACUGCCUGAUGUAGGGUGAUAACUACUGGAAACGGUAGCUAAUACCGCAUACCAUCGGAUGUUCCCAGAUGGGAUUAGGUUGUUGGUGGGGUAACGGCUCACCAAGGCGACGAUCCCUAGCUGGUCUGAGAGGAUGACCAGCCACACUGGAACUGAGACACGGUCCAGACUCCUACGGUAGGCAGCAGUGGGGAAUAUUGCACAAUGGGCGCAAGCCUGAUGCAGCCAUGCCGCGUGUAUGAAGAAGGCCUUCGGGUUGUAAAGUACUGUCAGCGGGGAGGCGUUACCCGCAGAAGAAGCACCGGCUAACUCCGUGCCAGCAGCCGCGGUAAUAC